rnacentral:rRNA from 1 species
UAAUACGAAGGGGGCUAGCGUUGCUCGGAAUUACUGGGCGUAAAGGGAGCGUAGGCGGAUAGUUCAGUCAGAGGUGAAAGCCCAGGGCUCAACCUUGGAAUUGCCUUUGAUACUGGCUGUCUUGAGUAUGGGAGAGGUUAGCGGAACUCCGAGUGUAGAGGUGAAAUUCGUAGAUAUUCGGAAGAACACCAGUGGCGAAGGCGGCUAACUGGCCCAUUACUGACGCUGAGGCUCGAAAGCGUGGGGAGCAAACAGGAUUAGAUACCCUGGUAGUCCACGCCGUAAACGAUGAGUGCUAGUUGUCGGCAUGCAUGCAUGUCGGUGACGCAGCUAACGCAUUAAGCACUCCGCCUGGGGAGUACGGUCGCAAGAUUA